rnacentral:rRNA from 1 species
CCGCCGGCGACCGGCGCACGGGUGAGUAACGCGUAUGCAACCUGCCCGUUUCAGCGGGAUAACCCGGAGAAAUCCGGCCUAAUACCGCAUGUGGCCGAGGGGAGGCAUCUUCUUUCGGCCAAAGGAGGCGACUCCGGAGACGGAUGGGCAUGCGUGACAUUAGCUAGUUGGCGGGGUAACGGCCCACCAAGGCGACGAUGUCUAGGGGUUCUGAGAGGAAGGUCCCCCACACUGGUACUGAGACACGGACCAGACUCCUACGGAAGGCAGCAG